rfam:Symbiobacterium thermophilum IAM 14863 DNA, complete genome.
GGGCCGGCGGCGGGAGAGUCUUCCUUCAGGGGAAGCGCCGAAGGAGCAAGCGGGGAGGGGGUCGGACUCUCCGUGAAUCUCUCAGGCACCAGGACCGUCGCCUGGGC